rnacentral:misc_RNA from 1 species
GUUUGCUUGCCUCUAUCUCCAUCAUUACGUGAUUCUCUGCCGAGUUCCUCUCCUUAGAUUUUGUUAAAACAAACCAUGAAAAAGGAGGUGGAUAUAUAAUAGGAUAAGAAGGCGAGAAAGAUGUGAAAAUGGAGAAACAAGUAAUUUAUGAGUUGACCGAGUGAAUAAUAUUAGGUUAAGAGAGUACCAUGCAGAAAGAGCCUCAAACCCAACUCGGAGAAGCAACCAACUUUUCUUCUUCUUCUACUUCUUGUGGUUCAGAUUGAAUCUCAAAAAUACAAUGUAGAUGGAAGAAAUAAAGAAGGACAGAGUUGCUGAUCGUGGAUUAAAUGGGGUUGUGGAGGCUGUUGGUGGAGGCAUUUAAUAAAAAGACCGAACCUCAUUAAACUUGCAGCUCCGUUGAGCUUUGGCACAUGACACUAAAGCAGCAACCGUCUGACAUGAGCCAUUUAAUAACUUUCUAGUUUUAAACCAUUGGAAUUCAAUUUAUCUUAUCUACCAUUCAUUAUUUGGCGAGCUUGCAAGCAUGCUUCUUCGAUUCUUAGGUGCAGCUGCUUGAA